rnacentral:tRNA from 1 species
UCCCUGGUGGCUCAGUUGGUAAAGAAUCCGCCUGCAAUGCAGGAGACCUAGGUUCGAUCCCUGGGUUGGGAA